rnacentral:lncRNA from 1 species
AUGUCAUCGUCAGCUCCUCCCAUUGGUUAGGGGAGGUCCUGGAGCGCGACGUAAUGACGAAGGACGCCCUAAGGGGAGGAGAGCGAAGGGAGGAGGGAAGGAAGCGCACAAUAUGGCGGCGGCGGUGGUGGCUGCUGGGCCCGGGGAGGGCAGAGCCGGAGGCGGCGCCGCCGUUUACUCUCCCUAGGGGCUGCUGUAAGCGCUGCUGCGACCGAGCCGGAACCGACGGCCGGUCGGCUGGCGGCGACACCUUUCAAGCCUCAGCGACGGCGGCGGCGCUCGGAAGCUGAGGAACUGAGGCUGAGAAAACUUAAGUGACUUGUACUAGGUCACACACAGCAAGUAAGCGUCUGGGCAGGAUUCUUCAGUGUAUUUUUGUUAAAUGGUAAAAUGGUAUGUAUUUUAUUGGCAUCUGGUUAGAGAAUUUCCAUGUGUUGAUAGUAUUGGAUUCAUUUUAUGACUCAGCCACAGCUGUUAGAAUUCUUAAAUAUAACCAGAAUGAUUUUUGAUGUCCUUAAAAUGGUUUUUUUCAGUGUUGGCCCCCCCCUCCCCCCUUACCACAGAAAUAAUUAUAGGAAGGGAAUUCACUUACAUGAUAUUGGAAGAGUUUAAUUUUAUUUCUUGACUGCCUAAAUCUUUGGAUAUCUUGUCACUUAAAACUAUUUUCUAGAGAAUGGAGCUUCAGGCUGUGGUCCUUAUGUAUCAUUGUUCUGCCCUAUCAAAUCAAUAACAUUGCUUUUAGUAGUGCACUCCCCUGAAUGGCCUUGCUGUACUUAGAUUUUCAUUUUUGUGUAUUGAAUGAUUCCAUGGGAUAGUAGAUUGUUGAACUUGGAGACUAGAAAACUUAUGUUAGAAUCCCACCUUUGCCACUUAUUAGCUAUAACCUUGGGGAAAAUUUUUAACCUUUUGGAAAGGGAACUUGAUGAACUGGAAAGAACUCUGGAUUUAGAGUCAAAAAGAUGUGAGUUAUAUAAUCACUAGGCCUUGGUUUCCUGUAAAAUAAGGAGGUUGGAUCAUUGUAGGGGGUCUAACUUUUUGUGCCACUGAUCCCUUUGGUAGUCUGGAGAAAGCCUAUGGAUCUCUUCUCAGUAUAAUGUUUCUCAAGAUGUAAAUACAUAGAUUACAAAGGAAAUAAUUAUUGAAGCACAAUUAUCAAAAUACAUGGAAAAACAAUUUCAUAGAUCCCAGGUUUUAAAAUCUUUGUACUCAGAAGGACCUACAAGGUCCUAUUGAGCUCUAAAUCUGUAAUCUUAUAAUCCUUGGCACAUGCUUGCUCCUUCUUAAGAGAGA